rnacentral:rRNA from 1 species
CAGUAGCCGCGGUAAUACGAAGGGUGCAAGCGUUAAUCGGAAUUACUGGGCGUAAAGCGCGCGUAGGUGGUUUGGUAAGAUGGAUGUGAAAUCCCAGGGCUCAACCUGGGAACUGCAUCCAUAACUGCCUGACUAGAGUACGGUAGAGGGUGGUGGAAUUUCCUGUGUAGCGGUGAAAUGCGUAGAUAUAGGAAGGAACACCAGUGGCGAAGGCGACCACCUGGACUGAUACUGACACUGAGGUGCGAAAGCGUGGGGAGCAAACAGGAUUAGAUACCCGAGUAGUCCCUGUCUCUUAUAC